CGUAGCUUCUCUGCACGCUGUCAACGUCGGCUUAGUAACGCCGUCCGUCUACACGGUGAUCGUUGGUGAAUAGCGAAAAGAAAUCAUAGCAGGCAGGAAGGCAGCACGAGGUAAGGUGGGACCGAUAUGACGUCGUUCGCUCGGUAAACGCUCCGGGGCAUAGUAGGCAGCCGGUAAAUCCCCGGAGCAACUAGCGAGGAAAUCUAAUGGCGCUAAGAGGACGAACCCGUGCGCGAGCGUCGGAAAUCGGAAGCUUUCAUAAGAUUGUGAAUAUUUAUCCCGUUUUCCCGGGAACCGGUGCUCGCGCGAGCGUGUGUGUGUGUGUGUGUGCCGUGAGUGGUUGUGCUUGCCGCGAGUGACGGUGUCGUCCCUAGCGACAAGAAAACAAAACACAGCUUAGCGUAUAUCCUUUAGCAGUACGGUGCCGGGCCCGCCCGUGACACAUCGCAUCGAGCACCGAUGGUGCAGGUCCGCAGGCAAAUCGGAAACUCGAAUCGGCACACGCCUAACGACUGGCGGAGCGUCUUGUUGCCGGCGGUAAGCACGAAAUGUAAUCAAAUAAAAAGCGCGCACGUGAAUCAAAGAUGGCGCUGUUUCGGUGCUAGGCGCAGAGAAUCGACAGAGAGCCGGGAGUUGCCUAGGCAUCGUGCAACUGGGAAGGAUAUUGACGGGAAGAAUUCGUAAUGUUAUUACUAAUAAUAGUAAUAAUAAUGAUAAUAAUGAUAAUAAAAGCAAUAACCGUCCUCGUACGAGCCGUCCCGCACGUGCAAGAACCGCUUGUUGGCGCUCUCGACUAGCGACAGACUAGCGGCGGAAAGCAUCGGCAAAAAAAAAGCCUAAAGCCCUUGAAAGGCAGACUAACGAAGGACGUAAAGCGUUCGACUGGGAUCAGAGAUGAAUGGCCAAUAGAUAAAUCCGAAUUGGAUGAAAGAUGACAUCGACAAUAGAACAAGGGGGCGGAGGGCAUGGUCUCGGAAAUGUUCGAUCAAAUAAGAAGCGGGUGUGUAGAAUCUUGGAACGGAAACAUUCGGUGCUUCCAUUAUACAUAUUACCAAGCGAGGAACGCAAAUUCAUUGGAAACGACGUUUGAGUUCAACAGUCUCUACAGUAAGCAAGGAGCCAUUUACUCCCAAAAAAAAAAAACAAGAAAUUCUUGGUAACGAUGAGAGUGCAAAAAUUCGGCCACAACUGUAAUGUAUGGCCACCACUGGGUGUGUGUGUGUGUAUUGCUCCAGCAAUCGAUCGAGAAAUGAAAAUGGAUGGAUGGGAAGCUCAGCUGUAAUAGAGAUUCCAACGAAAGCAACUCACUCUGCCAGGAGUAGUGAACCGCAAGCCGGCUCAAUUGUGGAGUGCCAUCAGAGCAGCUUUCAUCCUUUUUCUUGCCGAACCGGCCAAAGCAUGUAAGGAGCUGCUGACUUCUGAACUGCCUUCUGAGGUCGAUGGGCGAGGGCGAAAGGAAAAAAAAAGGAUCGCAGCAUUCGACAAUGGCACCCCGGGUCUCCGUGUGCAUGUAACAAUGCCGACACGUUCGAGGAGAGACUUCUCCACGCCAGCCCUGCUAUGUAUGAACGGGUGGUUGGUGCACGCCCGAAAGUGUUACAUCUGUGGCGAGGGGGCCGAUGGCCCGUUCCGGACGCUACCGACGCAUCACGGCCAGAGCAGUGUG